rnacentral:ncRNA from 1 species
CAGUCGGUGCCUUUGCUCCGGAAGGGGCAGGGGGUAAAAGGGAAACAGGUGCAAGGCCUGUGCGAUCUCGUCACUGUAUGCGGAAAAGUCCGUCGGGCGUCGUUGGCGCGGCCACUGGGAGACCGGGAAGGCGAUGGGCGAAGGGCCGCGAGCCAGGAAACCUGCCGAUUGU